AUUGAACGCUGGCGGCAUGCCUUACACAUGCAAGUCGAACGGCAGCACGGGUGCUUGCACCUGGUGGCGAGUGGCGAACGGGUGAGUAAUAUAUCGGAACGUACCUUAUUGUGGGGGAUAACGCAGCGAAAGCUGUGCUAAUACCGCAUAAUCCCUAAGGGGGAAAGCGGGGGACCGUAAGGCCUCGCGCAAUUAGAGCGGCCGAUACCUGAUUAGCUAGUUGGUGAGGUAAAGGCUCACCAAGGCAACGAUCAGUAGCUGGUCUGAGAGGACGAUCAGCCACACUGGGACUGCGACACGGCCCAGACUCCUACGGGAGGCAGCAGUGGGGAAUUUUGGACAAUGGGGGCAACCCUGAGCCAGCAAUGCCGCGUGAGUGAAGAAGGCCUUCGGGUUGUAAAGCUCUUUUGUCAGGGAAGAAACAGCAGCUCUAACACAGUUUGCGAAUGACGGUACCUGAAGAAUAAGCACCGGCUAACUACGUGCCAGCCGCCGCAGUAA
rnacentral:rRNA from 1 species